rnacentral:rRNA from 1 species
AACGAACGCUGGCGGCAUGCCUAACACAUGCAAGUCGAACGAGACCUUCGGGUCUAGUGGCGCACGGGUGCGUAACGCGUGGGAACCUGCCCUUAGGUUCGGAAUAACUCCCCGAAAGGGGUGCUAAUACCGGAUAAUGUCUUCGGACCAAAGAUUUAUCGCCUUUGGAUGGGCCCGCGUUGGAUUAGCUAGUUGGUAGGGUAAAAGCCUACCAAGGCGACGAUCCAUAGCUGGUCUGAGAGGAUGAUCAGCCACACUGGGACUGAGACACGGCCCAGACUCCUACGGGAGGCAGCAGGGGGGAAUAAUGGACAAUGGGCGAAAGCCUGAUCCAGCAAUGCCGCGGGAGUGAUGAAGGCCUUAGGGUUGUAAAGCUCUUUUACCCGGGAUGAUAAUGACAGUACCGGGAGAAUAAGCUCCGGCUAACUCCGU